rnacentral:rRNA from 1 species
GGCGUAAAGGACGCGUAGGCGGGAUAUCAAGUCAGGUGUGAAAUCCUACAGCUUAACUGUAGAACUGCACUUGAAACUGGUAACCUAGAGUAUGGGAGGGGGAGAUGGAAUUAG